rnacentral:lncRNA from 1 species
CUUUUUGAUUUUUUUAUUAUUUUUUUAUCUCGAGAUUGGGUUUUUUCACUUGUCUCCUCCCUUUAUUCGAGAUUCCCAACUUUUCUUUUUCUCAUUUUUUUCAAAAUUACAUUUAUUCAUCAAACCGAUGUAAGGGAGACUAUAUAAUCCAACAUUCUUCAAAACUUAUCAACCUUAUUAACGCCUAGACUCGGCCAAGUUACAUGCCACUAAUGUACAC